AACGAACGCUGGCGGCAUGCCUAACACAUGCAAGUCGAACGAGACCUUCGGGUCUAGUGGCGCACGGGUGCGUAACGCGUGGGAACCUGCCCUUAGGUUCGGAAUAACUCCCCGAAAGGGGUGCUAAUACCGGAUAAUGUCUUCGGACCAAAGAUUUAUCGCCUUUGGAUGGGCCCGCGUUGGAUUAGCUAGUUGGUAGGGUAAAAGCCUACCAAGGCGACGAUCCAUAGCUGGUCUGAGAGGAUGAUCAGCCACACUGGGACUGAGACACGGCCCAGACGAGGACGGGAGGAGGCGGGGGGACAUAUUGAACAAGGGGACACGGCCGGACGACGGAGGGGGGGGGUAGUGAUGAGGGCGGUAGAGUGUUAAACAGCUUUUCCGGGGGAGUAAAAUAACAGUCGGGGUAGAAAAGCCCUCGGCCCCCGCCGUGCAAGCAGCGGCGUAGAAGAAAGAGCACCGGAUAGCAC
rnacentral:rRNA from 1 species